UUGCACUUGUAUCGUGGCCUCUCUGACUUGGUAGAGCGGGCCUUGAGCGUAAGGUGCAUACAGAAAAAGGUGUUUAGACAGCGACGGCCAGACAGCCGUUGAGAUGGAUCCACAGGCGAAUGGCUUCACCUGAUUCUUGCCUACUAAUUCCACCUGUCAUUU